AGUCGAGGGGUAUAUGUCUUCGGAUAUAGAGACCGGCGCACGGGUGCGUAACGCGUAUGCAAUCUACCUUUUACAGGGGAAUAGCCCAGAGAAAUUUGGAUUAAUGCCCCAUGGUAUUAUGAAAUGGCAUCAUUUUAUAAUUAAAGUCCCAACGGUAAAAGAUGAGCAUGCGUCCCAUUAGUUAGUUGGUAAGGUAACGGCUUACCAAGACGAUGAUGGGUAGGGGUCCUGAGAGGGAGAUCCCCCACACUGGUACUGUGACACGGACCAGACUCCUACGGGAGGCAGCAGUGAGGAAUAUUGGACAAUGGGCGCAAGCCUGAUCCAGCCAUGCCGCGUGCAGGAAGACGGUCCUAUGGAUUGUAAACUGCUUCUGUACGGGAAGAAACACUCCGACGUGUCGGAGCUUGACGGUACCGUAAGAAUAAGGAUCGGCUAACUCCGUGCCAGCAGCCGCGGUAAUACGGAGGAUCCAAGCGUUAUCCGGAAUCAUUGGGUUUAAAGGGUCCGUAGGCGGUUUAAUAAGUCAGUGGUGAAAUCUGGUCGCUCAACGAUCAAACGGCCAUUGAUACUGUUAGACUUGAAUUAUAAGGAAGUAACUAGAAUAUGUAGUGUAGCGGUGAAAUGCUUAGAUAUUACAUGGAAUACCAAUUGCGAAGGCAGGUUACUACUUAUGGAUUGACGCUGAUGGACGAAAGCGU
rnacentral:rRNA from 1 species